GGGGCAAGCGUUGUCCGGAUUUAUUGGGCGUAAAGAGCGUGUAGGCGGCCAUACAGGUCCGUUGUGAAAACUGGAGGCUUAACCUCCAGACGUCGAUGGAAACCGUAUGGCUAGAGUCCGGAAGGGGCGAGUGGAAUUCCUGGUGUAGCGGUGAAAUGCGCAGAUAUCAGGAGGAACACCAAUGGCGAAGGCAGCUCGCUGGGACGGUACUGACGCUGAGGCGCGAAAGCGUGGGGAGCGAACAGG
rnacentral:rRNA from 1 species